rnacentral:tRNA from 1 species
GGGCAUGUAGCUCAGUUGGUCAGAGCACGAAUCUGAUACGUUCGGGGUCGGAGGUUCGAGUCUUCCCAUGCCCA